rnacentral:hammerhead_ribozyme from 1 species
AUCCAGUUGACGAGUCUCAAAUAGAACGAAACGCGUGUCCUGGAU